rnacentral:rRNA from 1 species
CCUACGGGUGGCUGCAGUGGGGAAUAUUGGACAAUGGGCGAAAGCCUGAUGCAGCCAUGCCGCGUGUGUGAAGAAGGCCUUCGGGUUGUAAAGCACUUUCAGUGGGGAAGAAAGCCUUGGGGCUAAUACCCUCGAGGAAGGACAUCACCCACAGAAGAAGCACCGGCUAACUCCGUGCCAGCAGCCGCGGUAAUACGGAGGGUGCGAGCGUUAAUCGGAAUUACUGGGCGUAAAGCGCGCGUAGGCGGUCUGAUAAGCCGGUUGUGAAAGCCCCGGGCUCAACCUGGGAACGGCAUCCGGAACUGUCAGGCUAGAGUGCAGGAGAGGAAGGUAGAAUUCCCGGUGUAGCGGUGAAAUGCGUAGAGAUCGGGAGGAAUACCAGUGGCGAAGGCGGCCUUCUGGACUGACACUGACGCUGAGGUGCGAAAGCGUGGGUAGCAAACAGGAUUAGAUACCCUAGUAGUC